rnacentral:rRNA from 1 species
CUACGGGUUGCAGCAGGCGCGGAACCUUUACAAUGCACGCAAGUGUGAUAAGGGAACCCUCAGUGCUCAUGUUUUACAUGGGCUUUUGCCAAGCGUAAAUAGCUUGGCGAAUAAGUGGUGGGUAAGACUGGUGCCAGCCGCCGCGGUAACACCAGCGCCACGAGUGGCAACCACGUUUAUUGGGCCUAAAGCGUCCGUAGCCGGCUUGGUAAAUCUCUUGUGAAAUCGUCAGGCUUAACCUGACGGCACGCUCGAGACACUGCCUCGCUUGAGACCGGGAGGAGUGAGAGGUAUUCCUGAGGGAGCGGUAAAAUGUGAUAAUCUCAGGAGGAUCACCUAUGGCGAAGGCAUCUCACCAGAACGGAUCUGACGGUCAGGGACGAAGGCUAGGGGAGCGAUCCGGAUUAGAUACCCCGGUAGUC